rnacentral:rRNA from 1 species
UUGGCUUAGAAGCAGCCAUCAUUUAAAGAAAGCGUAAUAGCUCACUGGUCGAGUCGGCCUGCGCGGAAGAUGUAACGGGGCUAAACCAUGCACCGAAGCUGCGGCAGCGACGCUGAUGCGUUGUUGGGUAGGGGAGCGUUCUGUAAGCCUGCGAAGGUGUGCUGUGAGGCAUGCUGGAGGUAUCAGAAGUGCGAAUGCUGACAUAAGUAACGAUAAAGCGGGUGAAAAGC